UAAUAAACCCGAUAGAAGUGAAAAUACUUUUUGUAGUACAAAUAAAAUAGAUUACCACGUCGUUCCUCCUCGCAAUGACGACCAUAGCGUACAACAGAAGCCAAAAAGAUUGUAACGAAUAGCGGGCCUGUAA
rnacentral:sRNA from 1 species